UACAGAGGGGGCAAGCGUUGUUCGGAAUUACUGGGCGUAAAGCGCGUGUAGGCGGCCUCGCAAGUUGGGUGUGAAAGCCCUCGGCUCAACCGAGGAAGUGCGCUCAAAACUACAAGGCUUGAGUACCGGAGAGGAUGGCGGAAUACCCGGUGUAGAGGUGAAAUUCGUAGAUAUCGGGUGGAACACCAGUGGCGAAGGCGGCCAUCUGGACGGAUACUGACGCUGAGACGCGAAAGCGUGGGGAGCAAACAGG
rnacentral:rRNA from 1 species